rnacentral:lncRNA from 1 species
CGGGAGGAGGCGGGAGAAGGGGGCUUCCAGGAGAGGGCGCCGGUGGGGCGUGGUGGGAGAGGGAGCAGAAGGCGGGGCGGGUGCGGAGGGGCGGCGGGGCGCGGGGUGAGCCCCAGCCUUGUAGCGGAGAGGUGCGGGGUCGGGGGUGGGCCCCAGGCAGCUCCCUCUUUAAAAGGCCUGCGGAAGCCGCGCGCUGGGCCCCACUGCCGCACAAACUUGGCGGGCCGGGCCCGCGCCUUCCCGAGCGCGGCCGCGGCCGUGGGCGCGGGGCUGAGCCGCCGCGGCUCCCUCGGCCCUCGUGGUCCCGGAGCCCGCCCCUCUCGCGUCUUCACUGCUCUCCGGUCUCCCGCUCCCUCUCUCGCUCGCUCGCUCUCCAGCGCGCUCUCUCGCUCGCUCUCCUUUUUCUCCUGCUGCCGUGCGGCUGCCGCGGCGCCGCCGGGCGCCCGCAUCUCAGCCGGCGGCGCUCGCGGCUCGGCUCCCGCUCCACUGCCUUCCCAGCGCGGAGCCCUCGGCCGGACGCCGCUCCCGGAGCCGCUCCCACUCUCCCUCGCGCUCGGACGCCGAGCUCCGCGGCGGACGGAACCGAGCCUCCCGCCGCUCCCUAGCUCGCCGGCUCGCUCUCGGAGCAGCAGCCGCCCGCCGCGCGCUCGGAGGCAGCCCGGGCCGGGCGGCCGCCAGCUCCUUCCCGCUGCGUCCGGGACUCCGGGCGGCUCCUCGCCGGGAUCGGUCCGCAGCGUCAGAGCCGCCCGCCGCGGCCCGGGCUCCGGCCACCGCGAGCCGCCAGCCUCCGGCCGCCGCCUCCCUGCGCCCCCGAGCGCUCGCCGGCGCGCGGUGAGUUGUGGCCCGCGGGUACGGGCGGAGGGGACGGCGCCCUCCGGCCUCGGGGGCGCGAGCUGCGGCGGGGACUCUGGGGUUCCGAGAGGUGGCCUCUGGCUGGCUCCCACGCUCGGCGCUGCCCAGAGGAGGGCCGGUGGACCGGAGCUCUCGGGGCUGGAGGACAUGGGACCCGGGGUAGAGGGUCUCUCCUCGGGGCUGGGACCGGGAGUGGGGCGGCGGGUCUUCUGCGGGUCCGGGGGAAAGUGUUCCUGUGCCUGGGGUUGUGUCGGGUUUCCCCGGCUGGGGGGUCGAGCCCGCGCUCAGGUGGGGACGGUGGCGUCAGUGCGCCCCCUCUGCGGAGAGGCAGGGCCGGCGGGGGCGCGGGCCGUUCUGUGUCCCGGUCCCCGCGGGUCUCUGGGCGGGAGGGCAGCGCCAGCCUUGCGAGCUCCUUCCCGCGGGCCGGCCCCACGUCCGGCUCCCCUGGCGCCCCAGCGUCGCGUUGGUCUCCGGCCGGCUCCGGCGCGCGCUGGCGCUCGGCGGAGGCGGGAUGGGACGGCACCCCAGGGUCUGGGGUCUCCCCAGGGCCCUGGGACUUCGGGGUCAGGUGCUUCUCAGACACUCGGGACCGACCCUCUCUCGGACCCUGAUGAACCUUUGCUUCUACGCGAACGCCCGGCGGGCAGCCGGCUGAGUUGUGUGUGUGUGUGGGGGGGCGGUUUGGGGGUCCCCUCCGGGGUCGGGCCGAGUGUGUAUGUGUGUGUUGGGGGUUCCCCUCCGGGGUCGCGCCGAGUGUGUGUGUGUGUAUGUGUUGGGGGUUCCCCUCCGGGGUCGGGCCGAGUGUGUGUGUGUGUGUUGGGGGGGUCCCCUCCGGGGUCGGGCUUCCCAGUCGCCCUGGAGCUGGAGGCGUCCCCUCCCUGA